AACGAACGCUGGCGGCAUGCCUAACACAUGCAAGUCGAACGAGACCUUCGGGUCUAGUGGCGCACGGGUGCGUAACGCGUGGGAACCUGCCCUUAGGUUCGGAAUAACUCCCCGAAAGGGGUGCUAAUACCGGAUAAUGUCUUCGGACCAAAGAUUUAUCGCCUUUGGAUGGGCCCGCGUUUGAUUAGCUAGUUGGUAGGGUAAAAGCCUACCAAGGCGACGAUCCAUAGCUGGUCUGAGAGGAUGAUCAGCCACACUGGGACUGAGACACGGCCCAGACUCCUACGGGAGGCAGCAGUGGGGAAUAUUGGACAAUGGGCGAAAGCCUGAGCCAGCACUGCCGCGUGAGUGAUGAAGGCCUUAGGGUUGUAAAGCUCUUUUACCCGGGAUGAUAAUGACAGUACCGGGAGAAUAAGCUCCGGCUAACUCCGUG
rnacentral:rRNA from 1 species